CAGGAUGAACGCUGGCGGCGUGCUUAACACAUGCAAGUCGAGCGAAGCACUUUUUUAGAACUCUUCGGAGGGAAGAGAGGGUGACUUAGCGGCGGACGGGUGAGUAACGCGUGGGCAACCUGCCUUACACAGGGGGAUAACAAUUAGAAAUGAUUGCUAAUACCGCAUAAGACCCCGGUACCGCAUGGUACAGGGGUAAAAACUGAGGUGGUGUAAGAUGGGCCCGCGUCUGAUUAGGUAGUUGGUGGGGUAGAAGCCUACCAAGCCGACGAUCAGUAGCCGACCUGAGAGGGCGACCGGCCACAUUGGGACUGAGACACGGCCCAAACUCCUACGGGAGGCAGCAGUGGGGAAUAUUGCACAAUGGGGGAAACCCUGAUGCAGCGACGCCGCGUGAGUGAGGAAGUAUUUCGGUAUGUAAAGCUCUAUCAGCAGGGAAGAAAAUGACGGUACCUGACUAAGAAGCCCCGGCUAACUACGUGCCAGCAGCCGCGGUAAUACGUAGGGGGCAAGCGUUAUCCGGAUUUACUGGGUGUAAAGGGAGCGUAGACGGAAUUGCAAGUCUGAUGUGAAAAUCCGGGGCCCAACCCCGGAACCGCAUUGGAAACUGUAUU
rnacentral:rRNA from 1 species